AUCCAGCUGACGAGUUCCAAAUAGGACAAAACACGCGUCCUGGAU
rnacentral:hammerhead_ribozyme from 1 species